rnacentral:rRNA from 1 species
UUUAUGGAGAGUUUGAUCCUGGCUCAGGAUGAACGCUGGCGGCGUGCCUAAUACAUGCAAGUCGAGCGAACGGACGAGAAGCUUGCUUCUCUGAUGUUAGCGGCGGACGGGUGAGUAACACGUGGAUAACCUACCUAUAAGACUGGGAUAACUUCGGGAAACCGUAGCUAAUACCGGAUAAUAUUUUGAACCGCAUGGUUCAAAAGUGAAAGACGGUCUUGCUGUCACUUAUAGAUGGAUCCGCGCUGCAUUAGCUAGUUGGUAAGGUAACGGCUUACCAAGGCAACGAUGCAUAGCCGACCUGAGAGGGUGAUCGGCCACACUGGAACUGAGACACGGUCCAGACUCCUACGGGAGGCAGCAGUAGGGAAUCUUCCGCAAUGGGCGAAAGCCUGACGGAGCAACGCCGCGUGAGUGAUGAAGGUCUUCGGAUCGUAAAACUCUGUUAUUAGGGAAGAACAUAUGUGUAAGUAACUGUGCACAUCUUGACGGUACCUAAUCAGAAAGCCACGGCUAACUACGUGCCAGCAGCCGCGGUAAUACGUAGGUGGCAAGCGUUAUCCGGAAUUAUUGGGCGUAAAGCGCGCGUAGGCGGUUUUUUAAGUCUGAUGUGAAAGCCCACGGCUCAACCGUGGAGGGUCAUUGGAAACUGGAAAACUUGAGUGCAGAAGAGGAAAGUGGAAUUCCAUGUGUAGCGGUGAAAUGCGCAGAGAUAUGGAGGAACACCAGUGGCGAAGGCGACUUUCUGGUCUGUAACUGACGCUGAUGUGCGAAAGCGUGGGGAUCAAACAGGAUUAGAUACCCUGGUAGUCCACGCCGUAAACGAUGAGUGCUAAGUGUUAGGGGGUUUCCCUACCCUUAGUGCUGCAGCUAACGCAUUAAGCACUCCGCCUGGGGAGUACGACCGCAAGGUUGAAACUCAAAGGAAUUGACGGGGACCCGCACAAGCGGUGGAGCAUGUGGUUUAAUUCGAAGCAACGCGAAGAACCUUACCAAAUCUUGACAUCCUUUGACAACUCUAGAGAUAGAGCCUUCCCCUUCGGGGGACAAAGUGACAGGUGGUGCAUGGUUGUCGUCAGCUCGUGUCGUGAGAUGUUGGGUUAAGUCCCGCAACGAGCGCAACCCUUAAGCUUAGUUGCCAUCAUUAAGUUGGGCACUCUAAGUUGACUGCCGGUGACAAACCGGAGGAAGGUGGGGAUGACGUCAAAUCAUCAUGCCCCUUAUGAUUUGGGCUACACACGUGCUACAAUGGACAAUACAAAGGGCAGCGAAACCGCGAGGUCAAGCAAAUCCCAUAAAGUUGUUCUCAGUUCGGAUUGUAGUCUGCAACUCGACUACAUGAAGCUGGAAUCGCUAGUAAUCGUAGAUCAGCAUGCUACGGUGAAUACGUUCCCGGGUCUUGUACACACCGCCCGUCACACCACGAGAGUUUGUAACACCCGAAGCCGGUGGAGUAACCUUUUAGGAGCUAGCCGUCGAAGGUGGGACAAAUGAUUGGGGUGAAGUCGUAACAAGGUAGCCGUAUCGGAAGGUGCGGCUGGAUCACCUCCUUUCU